rnacentral:rRNA from 1 species
CGGGUAACCGGCGAACGGGUGCGUAACACGUGAGCGACCUGCCAUACCCGCGGGGGAUAGCCGGCCCAACGGCCGGGUAAUACCGCAUACGCUGCUCGGGGGGCAUCCCCGGGGCAGGAAACUUCCGGGGCGGGAUGAGGGGCUCGCGGCCUAUCAGCUAGUUGGCGGGGUAACGGCCCACCAAGGCGGCGACGGGUAGCUGGUCUGAGAGGAUGGCCAGCCACAUUGGGACUGAGAGACGGCCCAG